AGAGUGAUUAUACAAUAUCAUUUUUUUCAAUAAAUACAUGUUCCAUAUGUGCGGUGAAAUCCCGACAAUGGUAGCGGAGAGCUGAGGCGUGAGUUUUAGACCAGGUAUAACAAUCCAAUCCCUCUUUUUGAGUUACGGUGUUGCAUUUUAUAUUUUGAAAUUUCUCAUAGGUUUAUAUGAUAUUUUGGGACUUUUUGCUAUGUUAUGAAAUUUUAGCAACUUUCUUGGAUUUUGACAAGAUGCUCUUGACCUAGAGAUCCUAAAAGGUGUAUAUUCGACCUACAAUUCAGUGUAAUGAUUGUCUACAUUAGUAUUGAGAUUAUACUAGAUUUUUACGACAUUUGAACCAUGAAAACAUCAGAUUCAAGAGCUAAAAUUGGGUAUUUUUGAUCCAAGUCCUAAAAGAGGAAAUCGGACAUUUGGACUGUAAAUGAUAUCAGAAUGAGAAUCUUAUUAUAGAUUUGGAAUCAUUGGCUAAUGCAUAACUUAUUUAUGAAACUUAUUUCAAUAUUUGUUUAGUUGACCCGAGGGUUAGCUUUUGAAUUGGUCAACCGUUGACUUUGACUUCAGAGCGUCCUAAAAUUCAGGUGCAUUUUGCUUAAAUUAAGGGAAUUGGACGGCAUCUUUGUUGACUUGGAUGUUUCAACUUAAGUAAAGAUUUGUCAUUUAGACGCAAGUGAAACUUUAACUCUUGGAUUACUUAUAUUUCUUAAAAGGCAUGUUAUUUGUGAUGUGUAUAUGCGUUUGGGGACAUCCGAUGAAAAAAAUGCUUUUAUGAUACCUUCAAUAACGUAUGAUAUUUGAGAUAUUUAUUUAGUAGUUCGCAUUUAUAAUCAUAUGCAUAGCAUCAUUUACAGCUUGGGCAUAUUAUGCCACCUCAGUUAUUGCAUUUUUAUAUUAUUAAGUGCUUACCGGGUAAAAUAUGUGGUUGAUGCGUCUGCGCUAGGCAUGUAAGAACAGGAAACUAGUGCUCCGGAGAUUGGUAAGACAUAGGAAUGUUCAAAACUGAACUGAAACCGUAACCGAAUCGAUGGCUUAUUGUCUUGAUGGUAUUGGAUUAUAAGGGUAAUGAAUGGUGAGCGGAUUGAAAUUUUAUAAUUAAUGGUUCAGCUUUUUGGGGGCGAAUUACUCAAUUUUUUUAUCGAGUAAACUGUUAAUCCAUUAUGAAUUUUUAUAUUUUGGCAUAUAUUGUAGCACAUUAAAGUUAGGCAGAGCUGUAGUAAGAUGGAUGAAGCUAGUUUUCAUCAUGUUUAUGUUGGAUUAUGGGUUGUGGGUGGCUUCAUGUGGGUUGAUCCAACCCGAUUAGGAGAGAUAAGUGGGAGGGGUUAAGGGAACUUACCAUAAAAUCACAAACUCCCAAUAAAGUGAACGGCAAAAGGGGAGUGAUGGAUUAUCUUCCUUAACCGCUAUUUACUCUGCCUAAUUAUGUUAUAGAGAAAACACAAAACUUUUUUAAGCGUUGUAAUUUUCUCUCUGACUAAUCCUUUCUGCAGAAAAAACACACACAAGUUAGAACAUCUAAUUGGUGGAAGAUUAACUUUAUUUCCUAGUGAUUCAAAGGUUGAUUUGGGGCAAUUCCUUUGGUGGUCGAAUUACUCCAAGUGGGAGUUCUCGAAGUCAAGAAAGGGGACAACGUAGAAGGAUACAUCGUCGCGGGACUUAUUUCUAUAAUGAUUCAGACUCGGAGCCUGAAGUCAUCAGGAAUGUCCAAAGGGUGAGGCAAAAUGAGUCAAGGGAUCAAAGGGCUUAACGAAGGGAAGGAGAAAAGAAAUUUAGGGAAUUUAAAAUGGACCCUGAUGUUUUCUUUCCUGAACGUGUACACUUUUUUCAGUUAAAAAUAGCUGAAUUGGCAAAUUACGUAGAAAUUACUGAUUGGGAAGCAUUAGCUAUUUUAGCGAACUCUCUUUGAGAAUCUUGGGGUGAAAUUUUAACUGAGAUUUAUCAUGA